UUUAAGACCUGCACUUAACAAAUUAAUAAUAAAUUAUCUUUGUGAUGGUGUUUAUUUAAUGGAUUUUAACACUUGAAUUCUGGUGUUUUAGUCAUAUUUCUUUUACAUAAAUUACAUAAACUAAUGAAAAUGUUAUUAUUUUCUUUCAAAUCAAUUUUAUUUUUUAUUCUAAUGCUAUGUAUGACCUUCAUAGCAUUUUCUCUCAGCCUCAUGACAAAAUGUGAACCAAAGUACGAGAUGCUUAUAUAGGAGAAAAUCCAAUUUCUCUUGGGAGUUCUUACAUUUCUUAAAGGCCUUAUACUUUGCUUGAAUAGAUUCCAGAAUCGUAUGAUUAAACCAAUUUGACCCUCUUGCUUCCUAAGCAUUUCCACACAGUAUGUUUUGAGUGCUGUGAUUCGAACAGUUUUGUGGCACUUAAAUAGUGCAUAUCUAUAAAAACUCCUUUGGCAAAAUGUUUAAAAAAAUAUUACUAUUACUCUAUGGAGUGAACAAGCUGCACAUGCUUUCCUACGACAGUGAAGUUCACAUGCUGCAUUAUGAACUUUCCCUGACCGUUCAUUCAUGAACCCACAAAUAUGUCACUAAGAUGUUUCACAUUUUCAGUAAGAUGUUCAAGACACAAUGGCCAUGUUGACUAUGGAGUGAACCAUAGUGUGGGAAAUAUUUUACACAAACAAACUUAUUAUACAAUAUUUCUUUACAUUUUUGGACAAUAGUCUAACUGUUUUUCAGUGUGUGUGUAUAACCAAAAAGGAUCAGUCAUUAGUCGUAACAUAUAUUAAAAAAAAACAAUUUGGUCUCAGACUUCACAAUCGACAUGACAUACUAUAAUCCCAAUACAGCCGCAGACUCACCUAGGUGGUAUUUACCUGUAAUACUGUAGUCGGGUACACCAAUCCCAGACAACCUAAGAGCUGCAUGACACCAUUCCCAUCCAACCACAAUGGAGACGGGUAGCUAAGCAUGGGUCCUGUGAACAUGUGUAUACUUGUAGGGCUGUCACAGCAUGAGAAAGAAAAUAGGCAGUUUAAGUUUUAGCAGUAGCACAAGUCUGUUCACAAUCUCUUUAGGAAGCAAUACAUAUGCAUUUACCCUGCUUUAAGGAGUACAUUUGUUAAAACCACAACAAUUGUGAUAGUGAAAAUAGUUACAUGUAUUCAGAAGCAAUCUACAAUCAUAUUAUGUUGAUUUACGUUCGUUCUUAGAUUCCCCCAUAUGGAUUUAAUUCUUUACUUAGCUCACGGGCCUCCGUGAUUACAACCUGGUUGCUUAAUCUGUUUGUGACCUUUCAUGGUCCUACUGCGGUCACUAGUGGUCACUUAGUAAUGUUUGGAACAAUGGUCAAUGGUCUUAUUUUGGGGACCAGGUAUUGGAGUCAUUGAAGACUAAAACCACACAAUGCCUUUGGCUUUAUCUUAAUUGGGUAACUCCUGUUAUUAUGGGCAUCAGGUGACCAACAUGAAGAUUUCUAAUUUCUGGGCUCUGUUCUAAGUGGUUGCUAGAGAAGAUCUAACAUCAAUAAAAGGCUAUGUUCAAAUGUCAGAGGGCAACUGAGAAUACUGCUUGGAGGACAGCACCUGAAGCAAAACAAUUUUCACCACUUCAAGGUCUGUAUUUUUGCCUUCAUAUUCAAACAUGAUAUAUUAUUUAAUAAUUUGGUUAGCAGCAAAUAAUCUAGAUAACGUACCUAGUACAGUAGCCCCAGUAGUUUAGCAACACUAAUCACGUUUGUGGUCUGUCUGUCAAUAUUCCAGAUUGCAAAAUGAAGCUUCUUAUUUUUUUAGCCUUCAUGGUCACCAUCUUCAAUGUGAGUAUGUUCACAUGUUCAUCACACAACAAUGUACAAAAUCAAAUGUUUGCAUUCAAAAUGACUCUAAUGACAAUUUUCCUUUUUUCCCCCCCUCAAUGAUCUGUUUAGGUCAAUGCUGGCAAGGUAGGAUACUGGACACUAAAAACAUAUAUAUCCUUCACCAAUCCAAUGCGUUUAGGGUUGUGGGAAGUAUUGAAUGAGUGGCCACUUCAGGAGAAGCUGUUGAUAGAAUUCAAGGUCAUAUCAUAUCUAUCUUUGUCAUUUCUCAGAAACUGAGACUGCUGGCAGGUCUAAAUGGUGGAGUUGUGUCUGGGGUUAACCCUGGACUGGUGGUGGGGGGCCUGAACCCUGGCGUCCUCCCUGGUGGCACUGGGUUGAUUGGGCAGCCUCAGUUUGCCCAGAUGGUCCCAGGUGUCCCCACGUAUGUCAUGCAACCCCAAGCUGUUCCCAAUGGUCCCUAUGGUUUCCCCAAUGUUGGGAUGCUGCAGCCUCAACUGUUCCCUAACUUCCCUGGGCAGUACCAGUAUCCUGCCCCACCAGCUAAUGGGCUGCCUUACUACAUGGGUGUCCCUCAAAUGGCAGGAAUGAAUCCUCCA
ensembl:lncRNA